GGUUCCUACGGGGGGCAGCAGUAGGGAAUCUUCCACAAUGGACGAAAGUCUGAUGGAGCAACGCCGCGUGAGUGAAGAAGGGUUUCGGCUCGUAAAGCUCUGUUGGUAGUGAAGAAAGAUAGAGGUAGUAACUGGCCUUUAUUUGACGAUAAUUACUUAGAAAGUCACGGCUAACUACGUGCCAGCAGCCGCGGUAAUACGUAGGUGGCAAACGUUGGCCGGAUUUAUUUGG
rnacentral:rRNA from 1 species